rnacentral:tRNA from 1 species
GCCGGGGUAGCUUAGCCUGGUUAAAGCGCCGGACUCAUAAUCCGGAGAGCGCGGGUUCGAAGCCCGCCCCCGGCACCA